ACGCUCGACACCUACGGGAGGCAGCAGUGGGGAAUAUUGCACAAUGGGGGAAACCCUGAUGCAGCAACGCCGCGUGAAGGAAGACGGUUUUCGGAUUGUAAACUUCUGUUCUUGGUGAAGAUAGUGACGGUAGCUAAGGAGCAAGCCACGGCUAACUACGUGCCAACAGCCGCGGUAAUCUGAGCGGGCUGGCAAGGC
rnacentral:rRNA from 1 species